rnacentral:rRNA from 1 species
AAGACCUUGCACUUUUGGAGCGGCCGAUGUCUGAUUAGCUAGUUGGUGGGGUAAUGGCCUACCAAAGCUUCGAUCAGUAGCUGGUCUGAGAGGACGGCCAGCCACACUGGGACUGAGACACGGCCCAGACUCCUACGGGAGGCAGCAGUGGGGAAUUUUGGACAAUGGGGGCAACCCUGAUCCAGCCAUGCCGCGUGAGUGAAGAAGGCCUUCGGGUUGUAAAGCUCUUUCAGCCGGAACGAAACGGUUACGGUUAAUAUCCGUGACUACUGACGGUACCGGAAGAAGAAGCACCGGCUAACUACGUGCCAGCAGCCGCGGUAAUACGUAGGGUGCGAGCGUUAAUCGGAAUUACUGGGCGUAAAGCGUGCGCAGGUGGUUUUGUAAGUCAGAUGUGAAAGCCCCGGGCUCAACCUGGGAACU